GUAAGGCACUGUGCAGGCUCCCCUUGGCUCCUACACCUAGUGGAAGUUAUGGGUGUUUCCCAGAGUUCUUGGAGCCCUGGCGGACCCCUGCUCUCCCAUCGCUUUAGGGAACCCUACAAAGGACUGUUUUGUCUGUGGUCACACGACACACUGGAAAUAGGAUCCGGAUGUUUUGAAUUCCAGCUGAGGGGUUCCUGGUCAGAGGAGUGGAUUUUGUUAUUUUGCUUUGAUUUGGACGUUUAUUAACGUGUGCCCAAUAGUAGCAGAGGAGUUGGGAGAGGUGGGUCCUACAGCCACACACUGUGUGGGAUCUUUUGCGUGCUUGCGUACUUUUGCAAAGCUCUGUUGCGUGUGGUGUUCAGUGCCAGUCUCAGAAGGACCCUGUAAGGUUGAUGGGGUAGGUUGUGUUCCCAUUUUAUAAUUCCAGAGACUGAAGCCCGAAGAGAGAAUUUCAAAUACACUCCUGGAGUCUUGAAUUCCUUUCUGCCUGCCUCCCUUUAAAAGAGAGAGAAAUAAUCACCACUUCGUUCAGAGAAAGGAGACCAGCUUGUGAAGGGAAGUUCCUACACAUUGUCCUAGAAGGGAUGGUCCUAGAGGCGCUAGAGAGAGGCUGCAGAGAGGUCUCGGGCCACGUGGAGGCUCACAAGGACGGGAGAGGGGCUGGCCCCCUCUGGGAGGUGGGGGCGUGUGGAAUUGGGGGCUUGUGGGUCUCAGUUAUGUUCAGUGUGGUUUGGGUGUAGAAUGGAGGCCAAAGGAAGAAAGCUUCAGGAAACAGACUUUCGUGUGCAUGGCUGGAGCAUUUCUAAUCUGGGCUUAGGAGCUGGGAAGCCCCAUCCUUGGAGACACCUGAGCACAGAUGGGUGAUUCCUUGAUAAAGCCUCCGUGGAAGGGAUCAGCGUCACAAGGCUUUGUUGAGAUGCAUCGGACAUACGACAUUGUGUAAGUUUAACGUGGACGACGUGACGAUUGGAUACACGUAUAUAUUGCGAAACAGUUACCACAGUAAGCAACUGCCUGCACGUGGUUGACCCCAUGCCUGUGCCCGGCCAUGACGUGGAGGCCUACUGCUUGCUGUGCGAGUGCAGGUACGAGGAGCGCAGCACCACCACCAUCAAGGUCAUCAUUGUCAUCUACCUGUCGGUGGUGGGGGCCCUCCUGCUCUACAUGACUUUCCUGAUGCUGGUGGACCCUCUGAUCCGAAAGCCGGAUGCGUACACAGAACAGCUGCACAAUGAGGAGGAGAACGAGGAUGCUCGCUCUAUGGCGGCUGCCGCGGCCUCCUUCGGGGGACCCCGCGCCAACACGGUCCUGGAACGUGUGGAAGGCGCUCAGCAGCGGUGGAAGCUGCAGGUGCAGGAGCAACGGAAGACGGUCUUCGAUCGGCACAAGAUGCUCAGCUAGAGGGCCCGGCACAGUCGGGCCAAGGACCAGCGGCCACGGCUGGAUAGAGCCAGGGGCCACUCUCCCCUCCUUCGACGCCACCCUUCCUGGGUCUUCCCUUUAAAAGCCUGUGGCGUUUUUUCCUCCUUCUGCCCCUCUUUAGAAACGUUGUUCUCAGCUGAGUUAAUUCCGGAAGCGUGAUGGGGUCCCCGAUCUCUCGUUCGCCUGCUCAGGUCUUGGGGGUUUGUGGGGGGAAGGCAGGCCAAGAGGGGAUGGAGGCGUCCGUCUCAGGCGGCCUCAGGGUUGGAAGGAGCCUCUCUCUCAUUGCUCCACCCUUGCCACCUCUCCGGCUCCAAAUCCCGGGAAGGUUCCAGCCUCUGGAAGGUGGAGCUGGGUCGUCAGGACCUCGGUGUGUGGGAGGAAAGCCUGGCCCCUGCCACCUGUGCUGCUUUCUGCUGUGGUUGUGGUGGCUGCCUUCCUCGCCACCCCGAGACGUCAGCCCCCGAGCACCCAUCCCCUCUUCCUCCUCCCUCCUCUCCUCCCCUGACGCAUGGUGGUGGCCGUGCACCCUGCCUCCUCUCGGCCCGGCCCUCCCGCCCACUCAGGAGGCCAGGCAGGCCCCUUGCCUCCCUGUGUGUGUUGUCACUGAGCCAGACGGGUGGUGGGACCACGCGGCACAAGGCCGGGCGGUGGCUCUGAAUGCCACAGCCUUGGGGCACCACGCAUCCCUGAAUUUCCUUGUAGCGUGCAUGGGCAGACAUGUUUGUCUACCGUUGUCUGUAAGUCAAGGAAGCCAUCAUUAAAUUGUCUUAUUU
rnacentral:lncRNA from 1 species